CGCAGCAGCUGAGGCUGAUAUAAAUGUAUAAACAAGCAGAAGCUAUAUAUGAGACACACCACCAUCAUUAAAGCAUAAAGCAACAACUUUAAGCCAAGUUCUCGGCUUCCGAUGGUCUGGUGAAACCAACGCUUUGCUGAUGGGCUGAAGUAGAGGAAGGAAUCCUGAAAAAAAUGACCGUUUCCUGAGGUCAUAUGGACAUGCAAGAUCCAUCUGGAUAUAGCUUGAUAAUUGGAAUACAGAAAAGAUGCAAAAUUUAAGAAAGGUCUUAAGUGGGAAAAAAAUAAACCUCCAAGAAGGUCCCAGCAGAAGAAAAAAGUAUCCCUCCUACCUCAUUUCUCCUUUUGGAGGCUAGCAGGAAAUUAAAAAAGGAAAGGAGUUUCAUGCAGUAUUUCUGACAGCAAAUUUCUCAGAAUCCAGAGAUACUUCUUUUCUCUGUAAUAAGUUGCUGCAGAUACAAAGGAACACUUAUGAUUGAUGACUAUCUCUGUUUGCAUGAGCGAUAAUUCCUGAACACACAGUUCUCGAUUAAAAUACAAAUGCAUUUUCAA